AAUCCUCGCGCGCCAAGAACCCUAAAAUAUAUUCGGGGGGGCAGCGAGGGAUUCUCCACCACUGGAAUGCGGCAGUCUCCAAUCGAUCUUUGUGGAAUUCCCCCGUGCUCAGCUCCGCCGCCGUGGAGCGCAAGAUCUAGAUCAUGCUUCGCCGCUGCAUCGCGUGCUUCUCUAGGGCCGGAGCUUCCUGCGACAGAUCCCCAAAGGUAGACAGCAAUCCCGACGCCAAGGAAAUCGAGGAGCUAGAUGAGGAGGAGCCGCAGCAGCUGGAUCCGGAGAGCAAGAAAUCCUCUGCGCCGCGUGGCCCCAAGGUAGGGGGAGGAUCCUCCCAGAGCGCCGUGCUGGUGGAACUCUUCACAUCCCAGGGCUGUAGUUCGUGUCCUCCGGCAGAUCUCUUGAUCUCGCAGCUUGGGCAAGCCAAAUCCUCGGAUGUGGCGCUGGAGGUGCCCAUCGUUGUCCUUGGCUUUCACGUCGAGUACUGGGACUUUAUGGGAUGGAAGGAUCCAUUCGCUAACAGCACUUGGACGCUACGGCAGAGGAAUUAUGGGCAGGCUCUCCAGCAGGACAGCAUUUACACUCCAGAGGUGGUUGUCCAAGGGCGAUCCCACUGCAUUGCUUCCAGCUUGGAGCCCAUUCUAGCGCUCAUCCAUCAAGCUCCCAGAUUUGCUGCGCCAGACAUCACUAUCUCCUUCAAGCUCGAAACCGAGCCAGAGCGCGUCUUAGACACGACAAUGGAAGCCAUCAUCAAGUUCAAGGUUGACAAGUUCACGCUAGACAUAAUGGUGGCGCUCUACGAGAAUGGCCUGGUGACCAACUGCCAAAAGGGCGAGAACAAGGGCCGGAUCCUCACAAACGACUUCGUGGUGAGAAGCAUUGCCAAAGCAGCGACUCUACACGACUGGCCCGCCCGGAAGACUGUCCGGGAACACUUCAAGCUUCCGCUCUGGGACACUUUCAACCGGACCAAGUGUGGAGCAGUGGUUUUCCUCCAGAAUCCAUCGACCAUGGAGGUAUACGGAGCCCAGAUGGUGCCACUGCCGGAAGAUCUUCCCUGACGCUGGAUGGGAGCUUCUCAAAAACACCGGCGUCUCUUCCCAGAAGUAAGCUCUCGCGAGUUUUCAGAGGAGACUUUUUUUUUUUUUUUUUCCUUCUGGAGCUCACGGGCACUUACAAGUUGCAGAGAUUGAUCACUGUUUUGGUCAGUGUUUUCGUGUACAACAUUCUCUGACUCAUCAAUGGGACCGACAAUGGCGAUGCCAGGCGAGCUUUUAUCUUUUUCUUCUUUCGUCUCCCUCGCUACAGGAACUUCGAGGCAGACACGCCAUACGCGUCCCCCACGGCUAGAGCUAUGCUCAAACCGACACGCCCAGGGUAUCUCCUAUU